rnacentral:rRNA from 1 species
UACGUAGGCAGCGAGCGUUGUUCGGAGUUACUGGGCGUAAAGGGCGCGUAGGCGGAUCUUUAAGUUGGGGGUGAAAGCCCAGGGCUCAACCCUGGAAUUGCCUUCGAUACUGGAGAUCUUGAGACCGGAAGAGGUAAGUGGAACUGCGAGUGUAGAGGUGAAAUUCGUAGAUAUUCGCAAGAACACCAGUGGCGAAGGCGGCUUACUGGUCCGGUUCUGACGCUGAGGCGCGAAAGCGUGGGGAGCAAACAGG